rnacentral:lncRNA from 1 species
GUAGCAUCACAUAAGCACUUCGCCACCAAUAAAUUCUCUGAAUAUGAUCUGUGAUAAUUCCAUAUCCUACUUGCAAUGCAAUCACACCAUAAACCAUUUCGACAACACAAAACCACGAAUCUUCAUUCCAAUAUACGUUCCAACAUCAUGGUAACAUUUCAAUGCAAUAAACCGAGAUGCAAUGACACUUUAAAAGAUUUGAUGAAAUCAUAGAAAUAACAUAAAAUUCCAACAAAUAAUUCAAGGAAAGAAAUCAGAUACACCAUAGAAUAGCAUAAAAUUCCCUACCUUACACCGACUUCCUUUUUGUGUUUCUUCUAAGUAGGCGAUCUUUGCCUAUUACGAGGAACUGAAAUGAAACAACAUAAUUUAGGUUUCCUAACCAUGAAAAUUUAUAUAGUUUAUUGUUGUAAAUUUUUAAUUCUCACGUUCUCUAAUCUAUAUCCUACAUGUUUACAGAUCAAAUUAGAAUUGAAUUAAACAAUAUUUGCAAUGCAUAUUAAUUUCCCUAAUUAAUUACCAAACACUAAUUCUUUUGAUUUUCUUAAAGCCUAACCUAUUAACAAAUCCCAAGUGUCCAAAUAACCCAAUUCAUCACAUGUUUACUAAUCUAUUUUUCAAUCAAACCAAAUUAAACAAAGAUUUAUGCUGAUCUUACCAUUAAUAAAAUACUUAACUGAAAAUACUUUAAUCUUUAAUUAAUUGUGAUUUUUAACUAAAACAGGUUUAUAGCUAAUUAUACUCAACUUUUACACAAUUUUUACCAUUAAUUCUAUUCAACAUGCCAUUAGGAACCAAAAUAAACGAAAAUUACAAAAUUAAACACUUGCUUACCUCAAAUCUACACUUUCUCUCUCUAGUUUCUCUCUCUAACCCAAGUUGCUGCAGGUGAAAUGGAGCAAAACGAGCUGCAGCCCCCCUUAUAAAGGGUCUCCAAGCACCCAAGCAUGAGGUGGCAGCCCACAUGGCUGCCACCAAUCCACCCAAGUAGGAGGUGGCAUUCCACUAACCUUAAUUUUCAAAUAUUGCACUUUAGUCCUUCAAGUUAUAAAAAAAUAAAACCCAUAAUUGCCCAUUAGUCCUUUAGGUUUUCAUAACCCUAAUUAGUCCCUAAGAACCUAAUAAGCAUGCUUAGGUCAUUAACUAAUCCCACUUAACCUUAAUCAAAGUUUAAUUCAUAAUUAAACAUGAUUAGCACUAAACUAGUUUUAACAUCUAAUUAAGCAAGCUUAAAGUUAAGUACUAAAAUAGUCAUUAGUACUAGGUGUUACAUCCUCUCCCCCUAACAAAAAUUUCGUCCUCGAAAUUUACAAAAGCGAACCUGUAAAGAGUUCCGGGUACUUGUUUCUCAUAUCUGAUUCCAAUUCCCAUGUAGCUCCUUCCACUCCAUGAUGAUCCCAUGACACUUUCACUAGAGGUAUGAUUUUGGUUCGGAGUACCUUCUCUUUCUUAUCUAAAAUCUGUCUCGGCCCUUCCUCAUACGUUACAUCUUCUUGCAAAUUCAAAUCUUGCCAAUCUAGUACAUGUGUGGUAUCAGGCUCAUACUUCCAUAACAUGGACACAUGGAACACAUCAUGUAUACCUGAUAGUUGUGGCGGUAAGGCUAAUUUGUAUGCUACCUCUCCAAUCUUUUGAAGGAUUUCAAAGGGCCCAACAUAUCUUGGAGCAAGCUUUCCCCUUUUUCCAAAUCGAAAUACACCUUUCCUUGGUGUUACACGUAAAAACACAUGAUCUCCUAUCUGAAAUUCUAGGGGUCUCCUUCUGUGAUCAGCAUAACUUUUCUGUCUACUUUGUGCUGCCAAUAACCUGUCACGUAUUACUCGAAUCUUGUCAGUAGUCUCUUGCACCAAUUCUGGCCCAAUCAGACUAGCUUCACCAGAUUCCAUCCAACACAUAGGAGAUCUACAAGGCCUCCCAUACAGUGCUUCAUAUGGUGCCAUUCCAAUACUGCUUUGGAAGCUAUUAUUGUACGCAAAUUCAAUCAAAGGUAAAUGUUCCACCCAAUUUCCUUUAAAAUCCAUCACAUAUGCUCGUAACAUAUCUUCUAAAAUCUGAAUAACUCUCUCUGAUUGCCCAUCAGUUUGAGGAUGAAAUGCCGAACUCAAUUUGAUUUCAGUUCCCAAGGCUUUUUGUAAGGACUGCCAAAACUGUGAUGUAAAUCUAGGAUCCCUAUCUGAAACAAUAGAGAGUGGUACCCCGUGCAACCUCACAAUUUCUUUCACAUACAAUUUACUCAACACAAUAACUGAAUCAGUGAUCCUCAUUGGUAAGAAAUGUGCUGAUUUCGUUAAUCUAUCAAUUAUCACCCAUACACUAUCCUUACUUUGGGGAGUUCUUGGCAACCCUGUCACAAAGUCCAUCGUCACAUGAUCCCACUUCCAUUCUGCUAUAGGUAGUGGUUGUAACAACCCUGCUGGUUUCUGAUGUUCAACUUUCACUUGUUGACAUGUUAAACACUUGGAAACGAAUUGAGAUAUAUCCCGCUUCAUACCCUGCCACCAAUAUUGACGCUUCAANNNNNNNNNNNNNNNNNNNNNNNNNNNNNNNNNNNNNNNNNNNNNNNNNNNNNNNNNNNNNNNNNNNNNNNNNNNNNNNNNNNNNNNNNNNNNNNNNNNNCACCAAUAUUGACGUUUCAAAUCAUGGGUACAUUUUAGUUUCUCUAGGGUGUACUGUGAAUCGAGAAUGAUGAGCUUCCUUCAUUACCUCCUCCUUCACCUAAGCAUCAUUAGGAACACAAAGUUUAUUCAAGAAAUGAAUCCCACCAUUAGAAUGUAUGUUCCAACCUUCUACUGCAUCACCCGCCAUGAUUUGAGAGCGCAUGCACUCUAACUUUUUAUCUUUCCUUUGAGCUUCAAUAACCUUCUGCAAUAUUGUUGGUUGAGCUACCAAAGUACAAAAACAUGCACCAGAAUCAUGUACAUCAAAGCAAGGAUUGAAUUCACUGAUGUAAUCAUACAUUUUCCACUCAUAAACCACCAACCCAGAUAACACACAUUGAGCCUUUCUACUUAGGGCAUCAGCAACCACAUUAGCUUUUCCUGGAUGAUACUGCAAGGUAAAGUGAAAAUCUUCAAGGGUUUCCAACCAUCUCCUUUGCCUUGCAUUUAGAUCUUUUUGAGAGAAAAUAUACUUCAAACUUUUGUGAUCUGAAAACACUUCAAAAUUUUCACCAUAUAAGUAAUGUCUCCAUAACUUUAAAGCAAAGACUAUUGCUGCGAGUUCAAGAUCAUGGGUAGGAUAGUUCUGCUCAUGGUUCUUCAAUUGCCUAGAAGCAUAAGCAACCACUCUUCCUCUUUGCAUCAAAACACAUCCCAAGCCAUUUUUUGAAGCAUCACAAUAAACUGUAUAUCUUUCGCCACUAAUAGGAGUAAUUAGCACCGGCGCUGUUGUUAGUCUCCUUUUUAGCUGUUGAAAGGAUUCUUCACACCUAUCAUUCCAAUCAAAGUUCACUCCCUUGCGUGUCAAUCUAGUCAUUGGGCAAGCAAUUCGAGAAAAGUUUUCAACAAACCUUUUGUAGUACCCAGCUAGCCCAAGAAAACUACGUACUUCAAAAACAUUCUUGGGUCUUUCCCACUUUGUCACAGCUUCCACUUUUGUUGGAUCCACUGAGAUACCCUCUUGAGAAACCAUGUGCCCCAAAAAUUGAAUUUCUUGCAGCCAAAAGUCACAUUUCUCCAAUUUGGCAUAUAACUGGUUUUCUCUAAGUGUUUGAAGUGCCAUAUGCAAAUGGUGACCGUGCUCUUCUCUACUCUUAGAAUAUAUCAAAAUAUCAUCCACAAAUACCACCACAAAAUGAUCCAAAUAAGGCCGAUAGAUACGAUUCAUCAUGUCCAUGAAUGCAGCUGGAGCAUUAGUUAACCCAAACGGCAUGACCACAAAUUCAUAAUGCCCAUACCUUGUACGAAAUGCAGUCUUUGGAAUAUCUGUUUCUCGUACCCUCAACUGAUGAUAACCAGAUCUUAAAUCAAUCUUUGAAAAAUAGCAAGCCCCACAUAGCUGAUCAAAUAAGUCAUCAAUCCGAGGUAGCGGAUAUUUGUUUUUCACUGUAACUCUGUUCAAUUUUCUGUAAUCCACACAUAACCGCAAGGAUCCAUCCUUCUUCUUUACAAACAAUACUGGAGCACCCCAAGGCGAGGUACUAGGCCGAAUAAACCCUUUAGUUUGCAACUCCUGCAACUGAAUGUUCAAUUCCUUAAGUUCAACUGGAGCCAUCCUAUAUGGAGCUAUUGAUAUUGGAUCUAUACCUGGAUACAAUUCAAUAGAAAAAUCCAUCUCUCUGUGUGGAGGUAAAUAUGGCAAUUCUUUAGGAAAAACAUCAGCAAAUUCACAAACCAUUGGAAUACAAUCUAUAGUUGUCAUCUUUUUGCCUUCUCCCUUCAGAUUAAAAAGAAAGUAGUGUCUGCCAUCCUUUCUUGACCACUUGUCAUCCAGGUUUCGAAUUAGAGGAAUAAAUGUAAGCCUUCUAUCACCAUAGAAACUCAUAUAUGAACCAGAAGAGGUUUGGAAUGUUACUUUCUUCAAAUAACAAUCUAACACAGCAUGAUGUCGGGUAAGCCAAUCCAUCCCCACAAUUACAUCAAACGAUGAAAUAUCAAGAAGAACCAGAUCCAUUGUAACUUCAAGACCCCCAAUAUAAAGUACACAAGCAUGACAUACCCACUUGGUUUCCACCUUACCACCCAUAGGAGUCUCAACACAUAAUGAACAAUGUAGGGGAACAAAUUCUAUGUCUAGCAUGGAGGCAAAUGAUGCAGAAAUAAAAGAGUGGGUAGCUCCUGGAUCAAAUAAAACAUGUGCCCAAGUGCUAAAACAUAAGAGCAUACCUUCCACCAAGGCAUUUGACUCUGCAUUUUGUGACCCUAUUGCAUAAAAUCUCCCUUGUUGUGCUUGCUCUGGCUUCCCUCCAGGCUUCCCUUGUCUAAAGUUUCCUUCCCCUUGAGGUUGCCUUCCUUGAAUUCGUGGGUUCAUUUGCUGAAACUGUCGUUGAGAUGGCUGGAAUGCAAGUCGUUGAAAUUUUGGGCACUCUCUCCUCAGAUGUCCCACCUCACCACAUUCAUAACAUCUCCUUGGUCCCUUAGCUGAAUCUGUAGCCCCACUAUACUGCUCUUGUUUUCUGGGUUGUUGUUGGGGAUGAGUCAUUUUCAGGCACUUGAAAUCAUGUUCUCGUUUUUCUGAACCACCAAACCUAGAAUUUUUGCUUCUCAACCUUUGAGCUUCCUCCAUUUCCCUUUCUAUAACAAGAGCCCUUGCCACAAUCUCACUGUAAGUACGAAGCAUGAAAGGAGCAACCUGUGCUCUAAUGUUCAAUCUCAACCCCUCUUGGAAUUGUUCAGCUCGCAUUUGUUCAUCUGCAACCACAUUUGGAGCAUAUCUAGAUAGUUGUGUAAAUUUUGCUGCAUAUUCAGUCACUGUCAUGUUCCUUUGAACCAAGUGUAUAAAUUCAGCUCUCUUCUGUCUUCUAACGGCCUCUGGAAAGUAAAUAGAUAAAAGCAGCUCCUCAAAUUGCAUCCAAACCAUUUUAGUUACAUCCUGAGUAGUCUUGAUCAUAUCCCACCAGUUGUCUGCUUCAUCCCUCAACAUGAAGGAAGCUAAAGAAACUCUCCUUUCCUCAGGCACUGCCAUUACAUAUAGUAUUUUCUUUAUUUCUUUCAUCCAAUUCUCAGCUUCAAGAAAAUUAGGGCCACCCCGAAAGCUUGGAGGAUUCAAUGCUUUAAAUUCCCGAAUCAAGCUCACAUUCUGGCAUUCUGAACCAGCAACUGGAUGUAUUACAGGUCUUCCCUCAUUUACAUCACCAUGAGAUAUUGGAGAUGAUCUAGUUGUCCGUUUAGGCCUUGUGGUUAAUCUGUCCCUUCCUCUAGGCAUUUUCUCUUAGAAAGGUAUACAAGGAUUAUUAUUAUCAAUACAUCACCUUAUAAGGGUUAUUCAUAAAAUCAAGCACCCUUAACCAAUACAAUCAAACCACUUAUGUCACAUACAAACAUUUGCAAAAUAAACAUGAUAACAACAAUAUCAUAGUAAUGGAUUCUCAAUGAUCAAGCACUCAAACAGGCAACAUGAUCAUAAUUAUUAUAGCUCGGCAUAUUCAAUACAACAAGGAAUGUCAUCAACACAAGAAAAACACAAACCUAACAUCCAUCCAUUAACCUUUCACUUAAUAUCAAUAUAUCAUACACAAUAAAACAAUGUCACAAUAAUAAUGACUCCAACACACCUAUUGGGCUCCCCACCUAUUGUCCACAAUAGGGAUCUAAUCCCUUAUGCUCUGAUACCAAGCUGUCACACCCCAAUUUUUUUUUUUCUUAUUAUUAUUAUUAUUUGUUCUUCAACUAAACAAUUGAUACUCAAAUACAGUAUAAGUGCUCUCAAAAACUUAAAUGUUGAGUUCCUACUUGAAUUUGUUCAAAAAGAGGAUAUGGAAAACCUGUUAUAAGGAGUACAUCCUGUAUUAAACAUUGUGACUAUUAAGUUAACAAAAUAUGUUUUGUUGCACAAAAGAAACUUGUACAACAUUCAUUUACAUAUACCAAACCCCAUUGUUUACUACGGGUAGCCCAUACUACAAGUGUAUCUAACAAAUAUAUACAUUACAUCAUUCCAACAAAAGGUGUAGUCUUGAUACAAAAGGCAUGGCCUCAAAAGACUUUCAAUAUGAGCAAACAGCAUCCAAUCACAGUAAAGCAUUGCUCAAGCAUUCUUUCCUGCAUAGGUCUUCUGACCUGCAUCUAUAGGUGGAAGGAAUAGGGUGAGUUCACAACUCAGUAGGAAAGUUUAUAACCAUCCUAAGUAUACCCUUAAAAACCUUGAAUUAAACGUUUAAUAACAUGCAUGAUAAACAUUUCAUAACAAUUAACAAAUGUGUAAUCAUGUCAAACAUGUAUGCAUGUGUUUGUUGGUUUCAUCAUUGCUUUUCCCCAUCCAUCCUUUCACAACUGAUAAUUUGCUGACUCCCAACAAUCUACACAGCAGAUAUCAAUGCUCCACAAGAUACUCGAUCAAUAUAAUAAUGACUAUUCUGGGACAUCACCCAAGGGCAAGUCAUACCCAGUGUCUUUUGGGACUCAUACCCAAGGGCAGGACCAACCCCGUGUCUUUAGGGACUCAUACCCAAGGGCAGGACCAACCCCGUGUCUUUAGGGACUAAAACCCAGGGGCAGGACCAACCCCAUACACCCACAUCGGAGUGUCUUCCUCGAGGGCUUUAGGGACUUUCACCCAAGGACCCACGGUCCCACAUAAACAAUAUAUCAAAUGAUAAGGCCUGUAGCAUCACAUAAGCACUUCGCCACCAAUAAAUUCUCUGAAUAUGAUCUGUGAUAAUUCCAUAUCCUACUUGCAAUGCAAUCACACCAUAAACCAUUUCGACAACACAAAACCACGAAUCUUCAUUCCAAUAUACGUUCCAACAUCAUGGUAACAUUUCAAUGCAAUAAACCGAGAUGCAAUGACACUUUAAAAGAUUUGAUGAAAUCAUAGAAAUAACAUAAAAUUCCAACAAAUAAUUCAAGGAAAGAAAUCAGAUACACCAUAGAAUAGCAUAAAAUUCCCUACCUUAC